rnacentral:piRNA from 1 species
UAAAGGUGCUGUGACACGAGAAUGUAUGU